UUACCCCGCCGGGGGCUCAGCAUAUCAUAAGCGGAGGAAAAGAAAAAUAACCAUGAUUGCCUUAGUAACGGCGAGUGAAGAGGCAAAAGCUCAAGUUUGGAAGCUCAGUGGUUUAACCACUGCGCAUUGUAAACUGAAAACAGGAUCAAUCAGGUACACCGGGUGAUAAGUUCCUUGGAAUAGGACAUCAUGGAGGGUGAGAAUCCCGUCUUUGACCCGAGUCUAGUAUCUUUUGUAUUGGCCUGUUCAAGAGUCAGGUUGUUUGGGAAUGCAGCCUAAAGCUGGAGGUAAAUCCCUCCUGAAGCUAAAUAAUGGCGAGAGACCGAUAGCGAACAAGUACCGUGAGGGAAAGAUGAAAAGAACUCUGAAGAGAGAGUUAAACAGUACGUGAAAUUGCUUAAAGGGAAGCAUAUAAAGCUAGGAUGCGAUUGUUUUCUUCAGGUUGAGCUUUGGCUUGACUGUUCAGAAGGAUAAUCCGAGACAACAAGAAUUGGAGGAGGAGAAUAAGCUGUUAGGGAAGGUAAUCCUUCGGGAUGUUUAUAGACCUGGCAGUUCGCGCUCUUCUUUCGAUUGAGGUACGCUUUUUUUAAAGGUUGUUGUCUGAAUGGCUUUAUAUGGCCCGUCUUGAAACACGGACCAAGGAGUCCACCUAAUGUGCGAGUAUUUGGGAGGUAAACCCAUAUGCGCAAUGAAAGUGACUUAUCCUAUGAGAGGGUCCCUCGGGGCCUUUGCAAUAGGGUCGGGCAGGGACGUUUUAUACUGAACUGACUCAGACUAAGCACAUUGGAUGGGACCCGAAAGAUGGUGAACUAUGCUUGGAUAGGGUGAAGCCAAAGGAAACUUUGGUGGAGGCUCGUAGCGAUUCUGACGUGCAAAUCGAUCGUCGAAUCUGAGCAUAGGGGCGAAAGACUAAUCGAACCAUCUAGUAGCUGGGUUCCUGCCGAAG
rnacentral:rRNA from 1 species